AAAAUUAGAGUGUUCAAAGCAGGCAGAUCCAAUUUUCUGCCACCGAAUACAUUAGCAUGGGAUAAUGGAAUAGGACCCUGUCCUCCUAUUUUCAGUUGGUUUUGGCAGCGCGAGGACUAGGGUAAUGAUUAAUAGGGAUAGUUGGGGGCAUUAAUAUUUAAUUGUCAGAGGUGAAAUUCUUGGAUUUAUGAAAGAUUAACUUCUGCGAAAGCAUCUGCCAAGGAUGUUUUCAUUAAUCAAGAACGAAAGUUAGGGGAUCGAAGACGAUCAGAUACCGUCGUAGUCUUAACCAUAAACGAUGCCGACCAGCGAUUAGGAGACGUUGAAUACAAAACACCACCAUCGGCGCGGUCGUCCUUGGCGUCGGUCCUUCACGGGGCCGGCGCGAGGGCGGCUAGCCCGUU
rnacentral:rRNA from 1 species